UACGUAGGAGGCAAGCGUUGUCCGGAAUUACUGGGCGUAAAGCGCGUGUAGGUGGUGGGACAAGUCUGCUGUGAAAGCGCCUGGCUUAACCAGGCGAGGUCGGCGGAAACUGUCCGACUAGAGGACGGUAGAGGGGGGUGGAAUUCCCGGUGUAGUGGUGAAAUGCGUAGAGAUCGGGAGGAACACCUGUGGCGAAGGCGGCCCCCUGGGCCGGCCCUGACACUGAGACGCGAAGGCGUGGGGAGCGAACGGG
rnacentral:rRNA from 1 species